GCUGGGUGUGGUGGCGUGCACCUGUAGUCCCAGCUACUUGGGAGGCUGAGGCAGGAGAAUCACUUGAACCCAGGAGGCAGAGCUUGCAGUGAGCCAAGAUCACGCCACUGCACUCCAGCCUGGGUAACAGAGUGAGACUCCGUCUCAA
rnacentral:SRP_RNA from 1 species